ensembl:lncRNA
GUCCCUCCAGCAGGGCGCUGGUGAUGCUGGUACAGCCGGGAUGCUGCAGGGCAGCGCUCCGGGGGAUGNGCUGGGUGCCGGAUCAAGGCCGGGUCCCCGGGGGCCGAGGGUGCCCAGUGCUCCCCAGGAGAACACGUGCUGACCGGUAACACCCAACACACGGGGUCAGACCUUUGGGCCUGAUGGACAAGGGUGUUUCUACCAGAAACGCUCUGGGAUUUGGGGUAAAAGGGUGCAUGUGCUGUGUGCAUGGAGGGGGGAAUGUUCAGGGCUCUCUGGGGACAUCCUUGGCACCACAGUGUAUGCUGGGAUGCUGCCAUGGCUGCCCUGUACCCACAUCCCCUCUCCCCCGGGCAGGGUGCAGUUUCCACUCCCCAUCCCUGGUGCUGGGUGCUGGGGGCAGGCCCGUGGAGGGGCUGGGGAGGGGGCCCAGCCGCUGUGCCAGCAGGACAGAGGGGGUGGCACACGCCCUGUGCUGCCCCAGGGCCAGCCUUGAGUGCCGGCUGGAGGAGCACACAGCCCUGGAACACGAGGACAAGGUGACAGUGUCCUGUGAGGAUGGCUGGACGCUGACAGGCUGUAACACCCUGUCCCAGAGCUCCGUGGGAAUUGAGGACAAUUCCUGCGUGACCACUGCUGGCCCUGGUGGCAUUUCGGCUGUGGCCAUCUGCUGCCGGAGCCGGCAGUAGGGACACACCGAGCUGAGGGGAGGCUCCUGGGGCACAGCAGGGAUGGAGGCCUUGCUGCACCCGUGUGUCCCUGGCUCGGUGCCUUUCCAGAACAAUCCAUGCUCCGACAUGCAGCUGAUGACCGGACUCGUCUGCCCCUCGCACACAGUGGGGUGAGGAUCCAGGGCCAGCAUCCAGGGCGGCUCUGCAAGAGCUCUCCAGGCAUCCCCCAUGCAGCUGGAGCCCUGUCCCAUCACUGGAGUCAUCCCAGAGUCCUUUCCCUGCCGUGCACUGUUUCUUGCUAUAACCACCUUGACAGAACAAGCUGUGGAAAAAAACACAGGAAAAAUCCACCACUUUUUAAAGAAAAAAUGUUGUGAGGAUCACUCCUUCCUUUCCUGCUUAGUUGCUCAUUAGUUGUCAGCUAAUGCUGCUUAGCACCUGGAAAAAUCUUAGUUUAGCCAUUUUGGGGCAGUUUUAUAAUUGCCUAAUGGUAUUCCUAGGAGAUUUCUUUACUUUUGAGUCAAGUGUAAGGGCUUUAGUUUAAACAGCCUGCUUGGUUAAUUAGAUUUUUAUCUGCAUUGCUACAGUCAGCUACUGCUUCAUUAGUGCUUUUUUUGUUGUUGAGUCAAAGUUAAUGAUCUGCUGGUGUUAUGUGUUAACAGUUUCAGGUCUUCCCAAGACACAUAGAACUGUAGAAAGCUGCAAUUCCUUUAAAACAACCCCAGAAUGAAGAAAAAUCUUUCAUAGCACCUUAGUUUUUACAUUUGUACCUUAAAUAUUUACUUGGAGUUUUAUAAAGGAGCAUUUUAUAAAUGUUUUUUUAAAAUAAAAUUCAUAGACCUGUGCUCUUGUGGUCCUUU